CGAAUUCGCCCUUCCUACGGGAGGCAGCAGUGGGGAAUUUUACGCAAUGGGGGAAACCCUGACGUAGCGACACCGCGUGAGCGAAGAAGCCCUCUGGGGUGUAAAGCUCUGUCAGCAGGGACGAAAAAAAUGACGGUACCUGCAGAGGAAGCAUCGGCUAACUACGUGCCAGCAGCCGCGGUAAUACGGAGGGUGCAAGCGUUAUCCGGAUUCACUGGGUUUAAAGGGUGCGUAGGCGGGUAUUUAAGUCAGUGGUGAAAUCCUAGAGCUUAACUCUAGAACUGCCAUUGAUACUAUUUAUCUUGAAUAUUGUGGAGGUAAGCGGAAUAUGUCAUGUAGCGGUGAAAUGCUUAGAUAUGACAUAGAACACCUAUUGCGAAGGCAGCUUACUACGCAUAUAUUGACGCUGAGGCACGAAAGCGUGGGGAUCAAACAGGAUUAGAUACCCUGGUAGUCCACGCCCUAAACGAUGGAUACUCGACAUACGCGAUACACUGUGUGUGUCUGAGCGAAAGCAUUAAGUAUCCCACCUGGGAAGUACGACCGCAAGGCUAAAACUCAAAGGAAUUGACGG
rnacentral:rRNA from 1 species